rnacentral:misc_RNA from 1 species
AAGCCUAAAGUCAAUACUCACUGGCACUAUGGCUGCAGAACAGAUCAAGCAGAAAUGUGCGUUUCGGACUGGUGCGCUUCUGGUUGUGGUGCUACUGCAAGCCGUGGCGUAUGGGACCGCUACUGGCGUGUAUCUAAGCUAUAUACCGGACCCCGCUACUAAUGUAGUUCCUAAUGUGCCUCCAGAAACAUACUUUCAUUAUGUGGUAGAUAUCGACAGUGUUACACAGCCAACACUGAUCCGCAUCAAGCAAGAACCGUACGUGGUGGUGAAGGUAUCUAACUUGGAGUUUUGUACGGUAAUAUGGAGCAACAAGCAUUUAUUGAGGCGUGUACCAGCAAGACGGGCAAUAAAAGACUUUUGCAGAUCGAUACGCCAGUCAGGAAAAGAGAUGGCAACUGCCACGGAAGUGACGCCCGUACUUGACGUCACCGCUACUGGCGAGUCUGGUAAAGCAUUGCGUGCCGAAGCGAGACUGGCGGAACGACAGCACCCCUCUGCUGAAGCACUGAACCUGAAGAAACUCACAGAAUGGUGCAAGCAUCGGAAGCAUAUAGACAACAAACUGGUUCGAGUAUAUUUAUCAGAUAUCUGCAGCAACUUGGGUAAAACAGCGCCCACAACUCUACCUGCCAAAUCAUUUGGACCCCUCACGGCAGUACCCGUAACGACAGAUACUACAACUGAUCCCACGACUGAAGCAGAAGCGGACGUAACGUCGAAAGGAGCCUACGCUUCGCAGCCAGCAGUAAGCGGCGUGGAGCCAAAGAUGGGCGGGGCGUCCAAUUAUUCUCACAUAGACCUUACCAUAGAAAUAUGCCAGAACCUGCACAUAUUAGAUAUUCCACAGCCAACAAGACGUGUGAUGGGUAUCUUCUGCAGACUUCAAUAUCGUACAGAAAAUAAAGCGGUCAUGGCCAUGGAAGGUACAUCAAACACGACGCAGCCUUCGGAUCUCAAGGCUCAGCAUAGGAGAUUUUUCAAACUUAGAGUUUGUCCUCAUCUGGAACAAGCAAAGGAACUAAAAUUUUUAUCAAGCAACUUGUCGCGUUACUGCAAAGAUUUAGCGAAUGAGGGCACAGAUAUGUCAGCGGAAUCGUAUGGGACCGCCACUUUUGCCCAAGUGACUAAAGAUGCGGAUCCCAUGACUGAAACUGUGACCUUGAAGACAGCCUACACUUACAAUGCACAGUCAGCAGUAACCAGCCUGAAGCCAGAGAUGGGGGCGGCAUACAAUAUUUCUGACACGGAGCUAGGCCUAUUAGUGUGUCAGAACUUUCAUUUAAUCGAUAAUUCCAUGCCCUUUAUGGCAAGACGGGCACUAUUACUCUACUGCAAAAUUAUGAAUUUUACAGAUACAGGAACGAGUACGGCCGCCGCCACGGAAGUGAUGUCUGCACGCAAGCUUACCACAACAGCGGCCGCAGGCACAUCUGAAGGACCUUUCGACACGAGUCGUGUCCCUGAUGCUGAGCAAGCUGCGACGAGCUUGACGAAACAACAGGAACCCUCUUCACACAUCUCCUCCUUGACCAAACUCAGAGAAGUGUGCAGACAUCUGAAUCAAGUAAAGAAUAAAAUGUUUGGACCAUUUUUACCGGGGCUCUGCAAGCACGUGGAUAAACCAGAUAUGUCGGCGGAAUCGAAUGGGACCGUCACUGCUGCCCAAGUGACUAGAGAUGCGGAUCCCAUGACUGAAGCUGUCACCUUGAAGACAGCCUACACUUACAGUGCACAGUCAGCAGUAACCAGCCUGAAGCCUGAGACGGGAGCGACACACAAUAUUUCUGACACGGAGCUUGGCCUAUUAGUGUGUCAGAACCUUCUUUUACUAGAUAAUUCCGUGUCCUAUAUAGCGAGACGGGCUCUAGCACAUUAUUGUAAAAUUAUUAAUCCUACAGGUACAGGAACAAGUACGGCCGCCGCCACGGAAGUGAUGUCUGCACGCAAGCUUACCACAACAGCGGCCGCAGGCACAUCUGAAGGACCUUUCGACACAAGUCGUGUCCCUGAUGCUGAGCUAGCUGCGACGAGCGUGACGCAACAAGAGGAACCCUCUUCACACAUCUCGUCCUUGACCAAACUCAGACAAUUGUGCAGACAUCAGAGUGAAGUAAAGAAUAAAAUGUUUGGACCAUUUUUACCGGGGCUCUGCAAGCACGUCGCUGAACCAGAUACGUCAUUGGAAUCGAAUGGGACUGUCACUGCUGCCCAAGUGACUAGUGAUGCGGCUCCCAUGACUGAAGCUGUGACCUUGAAGACAGCCUACACUUACAGUGCACAGUCAGCAGUAACCAGCCUGAAGCCAGAGACGGGAGCGACACUCAAUAUUUCUGACACGGAGCUUGGCCUAUUAGUGUGUCAGAACCUUCUUUUACUAGAUAAUUCUGUGUCCUAUAUAGCGAGAUGGACUCUAGCACACUAUUGCAAAAUUAUGAAUCCUACAGGUACAGGAACGAGCACGGCCGCCGCCACGGAAGUGAUGUCUGCACACAAGCUUACCACAACAGCGUCCGUUGGCACAUCUGAAGGACCUUUCGACACAAGUCAUGUCCCUGAUGCUGAGGAAGCUGCGACGAGCGUGACGCAACAAGAGGAACCCUCUACACACAUCUCGUCCUUGACCAAACUCAGACAAUUGUGCAGACAUCAGAGUGAAGUAAAGAAUAAAAUGUUUGGACCAUUUUUACCGGGGCUCUGCAAGCACGUCAAUGAAACAGAUACGUCAUUGGAAUCGAAUGGGACUGUCACUGCUGCCCAAGUGACUAGUGAUGCGGCUCCCAUGACUGAAGCUGUGACCUUGAAGACAGCCUACACUUACAGUGCACAGUCAGCAGUAACCAGCCUGAAGCCAGAGACGGGAGCGACACUCAAUAUUUCUGACACGGAGCUUGGCCUAUUAGUGUGUCAGAACCUUCUUUUACUAGAUAAUUCCGUGUCCUAUAUAGCGAGAUGGACUCUAGCACACUAUUGCAAAAUUAUGAAUCCUACAGGUACAGGAACGAGCACGGCCGCCGCCACGGAAGUGAUGUCUGCACACAAGCUUACCACAACAGCGGCCGUUGGCACAUCUGAAGGACCUUUCGACACAAGUCGUGUCCCUGAUGCUGAGGAAGCUGCGACGAGCGUGACGCAACAAGAGGAACCCUCUUCACACAUCUCGUCCUUGACCAAACUCAGACAAUUGUGCAGACAUCAGAGUGAAGUAAAGAAUAAAAUGUUUGGACCAUUUUUACCGGGGCUCUGCAAGCACGUCAAUGAAACAGAUAUGUCGGCGGAAUCGAAUGGGACUGUCACUGCUGCCCAAGAGAAUGGAGAUGCGGAUCCCAUGACUGAAGCUGUGACCUUCAAGACAGCCUACACUUACAGUGCACAGUCAGCAGUAACCAGCCUGAAGCCAGAGACGGGAGCGACACACAAUAUUUCUGACACGGCGCUUGGCCUAUUAGUGUGUCAGAACCUUCUUUUACUGGAUAAUUCCGUGUCCUAUAUAGCGAGACGGACUCUAGCACACUAUUGUAAAAUUAUGAAUCCUACAGGUACAGGAACGAGUACGGCCGCCGCCACGGAAGUGAUGUCUGCACGCAAGCUUACCACAACAGCGGCCGCAGGCACAUCUGAAGGACCUUUCGACACAAGUCGUGUCCCUGAUGCUGAGGAAGCUGCGACGAGCGUGACGCAACAAGAGGAACCCUCUUCACACAUCUCGUCCUUGACCAAACUCAGACAAUUGUGCAGACAUCAGAGUGAAGUAAAGAGUAUAAUGUUUGGACCAUUUUUACCGGGGCUCUGCAAGCACGUCGCUGAACCAGUGUACUGCACCAGAUAAUGGCUGGCAAUGUAUCUUCUGUUUUCAUCACUGUCUUUCGUGAUUUUUUUACAAGAAUUUUGACUUAAAUGCUGAACGGCUCACCAGCUGCACAACACGUUAACGAUACUUGGCAUAACCUCUUUAGUGCAUGAAAAACGUUUCUUGAUAUGUUUUGUGAACAGUCAAAAUUAUGAAGAAAUAACUUAAUUUUCAAUUAAUGGAAUAAAAUGGAGUGUUUAAUUUU